rnacentral:rRNA from 1 species
CAUGCAAGUCGAGCGGAUGAGUGGAGCUUGCUCCAUGAUUCAGCGGCGGACGGGUGAGUAAUGCCUACGAAUCUGCCUGGUAGUGGGGGAUAACGUUUCCAAAGGAACGCUAAUACCGCAUACGUCCUACGGGAGAAAGUGGGGGAUCUUCGGACCUCACGCUAUCAGAUGAGCCUAGGUCGGAUUAUCUAUUUGGUGGGGUAAUGGCCCACCAAGGCGACGAUCCGUAACUGGUCUGAGAGGAUGAUCAGUCACACUGGAACUGAGACACGGUCCAGACUCCUACGGGAGGCAGCAGUGGGGAAUAUUGGACAAUGGGCGAAAGCCUGAUCCAGCCAUGCCGCGUGUGUGAAGAAGGUCUUCGGAUUGUAAAGCACUUUAAGUUGGGAGGAAAGGCAGUAAGUUAAUACCUUGGUGUUUUGACGUUUCCGAGGGAAUAACCACCGGGUAACUUCGGUCCCACAGCCCCGGAAGGACCAAGGGUGCAAACGGUAAUCUCUAUUACUGGGCGGGAAGGGCGCGUAUCUGCGGUGUUAAGUUGGAUGUGAAAGCCCCGGGCUCAACCUGGGAACUGCAUCCAAAACUGGCGAGCUAGAGUAUGGCAGAGGGUGGUGUACUUUCCUGUGUAGCGGUUAAAUGCGUAGAUAUAGGAAGGAACACCAGUGGCGAAGGAGACCACCUGGGCUAACGCUGACACUGAGGUGCGAAAGCGUGGGGAGCAAACAUGAUUAGAUAUCCCGCUGAUACCAGCAGAAGACGAUGUCGACUAGCCGUUGGGAUCCUUGAGAUCUUAGUGGCGCAGCUAACGCAUUAAGUCGACCGCCUGGGGAGUACGGCCGCAAGGUUAAAACUCAAAUGAAUUGACGGGGGCCCGCACAAGCGGUGGAGCAUGUGGUUUAAUUCGA